rnacentral:rRNA from 1 species
CCUACGGGAGGCAGCAGUAGGGAAUCUUCCACAAUGGGUGCAAGCCUGAUGGAGCAACACCGCGUGAGUGAAGAAGGGUUUCGGCUCGUAAAGCUCUGUUGUUGGAGAAGAACGUGCGUGAGAGUAACUGUUCACGCAGUGACGGUAUCCAACCAGAAAGUCACGGCUAACUACGUGCCAGCAGCCGCGGUAAUACGUAGGUGGCAAGCGUUAUCCGGAUUUAUUGGGCGUAAAGCGAGCGCAGGCGGUUGCUUAGGUCUGAUGUGAAAGCCUUCGGCUUAACCGAAGAAGUGCAUCGGAAACCGGGCAACUUGAGUGCAGAAGAGGACAGUGGAACUCCAUGUGUAGCGGUGGAAUGCGUAGAUAUAUGGAAGAACACCAGUGGCGAAGGCGGCUGUCUGGUCUGCAACUGACGCUGAGGCUCGAAAGCAUGGGUAGCGAACAGGAUUAGAUACCCCAGUAGUC